rnacentral:tmRNA from 1 species
GGGGCUGAUUGGGCUCGAUUCAGGUAUGUCGGGUGAUGAGCAGCAUGCAGAGGUUGUAAGGAGGCCUCUUUAAACACCUUACACAAUACAAACGCUGAAACUGAUCCAACAGUGCUAGCAGCGCUUAAUAUCGUUAACCCGAUAUUCAAUGCGCCGUUAGUAGGCGUAAGAUAAGCCUUAGUCCACUCGCUGGACUAAGCCAUGACCGGGGCAAUUCUGCGUGUUUCGGUGAUGACGGGCUUUAGGGCCGCAAGGCCUUAAAGCAGGCAGAAUAGUCCUUACCCUGCCGGCGGGAUAAGGGCGAAAUUUAAGCCGGCUGGUCCUGUGAGAUCCUGUCUGCCGGAGACCGCAGGGCGAGAAUAAAUGGCAGGCUAAGCAUGUAGCGGCUUUCGCUUCUCUAUCUGAGGACCCGGGUUCGAUUCCCGGCAGCUCCACCA